AUGGAGAAGGCCUCCGUCUGCACCGGUCUGGAGGGAGAAUCCAAGACGUUGUCCGCUCACCACAACUACCUCCUGACGACCUCUAACGCCGUGGAGCUCGACGCCGUCGGCUCCGACACGUUCCGGGACCACCGGAGAGGUUUCGGCGUGACCCUCCUCGGACACAAAGACUCUAUAGAUACCGAUAGUAUUGACGCCAUCGUUCCCUCUGACCUCUUCCUGCUCUCCACUCCCUCCUCCGCCUUCCGCUCUCUCAGUCUGAAGAGUCCCAGUGUUGGUGAAGACAAGAAGCUUGGUUAUAAGGCUGUGACCCAUCUGAGGAGACUCCGUUUUGAGGACAGUGUAACACCCAGCAGUAGCAGCAGCGUCUCCACCGUAGCAACUAAACGGUCCAAUCACACUGCUCAGUUGUCCAACGGGGUGUCUUCCUGUAACGCAGCCGAGCCGGGACUCUCCACCGCCACCGAGCCGUUGUUCUGGGCUGCAGCCUGGCAGAGCCGCAAGGCUUCUGAUAUAACCUCCGUGACCUCUGUGACGUCGCCCAAUCACAACGGAGAGGAGGAGCAUCGGAGGCAGCUCAACACGUCUUCGGGGUCGGGGCACGGCGAGAGAAACCAAACCGCGGGAGUCACCACGUCCCGCGCUCUGACAGAGGACGAAGCCUUCACGGACGAAGCCUUCAUGGACGUAGCCUAUCUGGAUAAGAUCUCUGAGCUGGACUCUAUGAUGCUGGAGGGGCCAGAGAGCUGCGGCUCGGCAGGGUCGCAACUGUCCCUGGCUUCCUCCCUGACUUCUGCCGACACACCGGACUUGACCCUUGACCUCAGACUGGAUGUGACCCUGGUACCUGAGGUGGAGGGCUGCUCUGAACUCUUCCUGGACCCUGACUCUGAGCAGGACCGAGGUGGAGGUGGACAGACCGAGGCGGAGGGUUUCGGGAUAAAGGGAACCUCUUCCUCUCCGGUCACAGUGUCAGCGACUCGGGCAGCUUCUCUAGCGCCCACAUCUACGACGACGGCAACCGGGUCUGGAUCCUCCUCUGGGAGAGACGAUGGCAGCGGGGACCACAGUCUUCUAGACUCUACGGGGCCUGCUAGAGAACAGGGACACCUCUCGGACCCGUCUCAGACCGAUGAACUGUCCUUCGACCUGCUGUUUGACCCCUUAACAGAGACCCGGACGGGACCAGGAGGGCCGUCGGCCUGGCAGGCCUCAGCCAACCACCGCCAUGACAUCUCGUCUGACUGCUGCUCGGCAGAUAGACCUGGUGGAGACGCUGUGAGAGAGAAGAGCGCGGGGACUCCUAGUCAGGCCACCAAACGGAAGUCUCGCAGUCCUUUCGACGUCGGCAGUCCCUCCAAACAUUCUAAGUUUAUGUGA
rnacentral:lncRNA from 1 species